CUUCCGCAUUGCGCCGCGGCCGGGGGCGGAAGAUCCGCCCCGCGCGAGGGAAGGGGCGGGGCAUCAGGAGGGAGACCACGCCCACUCUGCGCCGACCGGCUGGGCCUGGCACCCGCGGGCGGCCCCAGCCUCAGUCUCCAGCUACCUUUGCCUCCUGCGGCCGCCCCCAGGCAGAGCUGCGAUCCCACCGCCGGGGGUGCAGGGAGAGGGAAGAUCUGGCCUCCUUGGUCCUUUUGCGUGGGCUCUUCAGAGCGUGAGCGCCGGGGAGGGACUCCGGAGAAAAGCUUGGGGGGCUGCGUAUUGCUGCUCCCCAAGCUGGGCGUCAGGACCAACCCCGCCGCCCCCACGGGCCUGACGGGAGAGGAGGAAGGGCUCGGGACGGUCGGCUCGCCGAGCCAACCAGGUGGCGCCUGAAGAGCUGUCCAUGGUGUCGACAGCCCAGCAAACGGCACCGAGUUCCUAGUCUGAGUGUCUGGAUAGGUAGCAGAAGAAAAACUAAUGCCUGCUCUGGGACAGUUCUGUUCGGUGCCUUUUCUUGUGUGUUCUGGAGCUCACAGGGUUCUAUCGAAGAGUGCUUAGGUGUAUACGAUGGAGAGUGGGACGUCACAAACCAGGAUCUCAAGGCUGAGUCCAACAAAACAUGGCCGUAGGGAGGCCACGACAGCUGUGGUUGUCACCGACGGAUGAAUAGCUUUUGCCAACCGUGGAAUUUAGUAACUAAAGGCACCUAACCCUUUUAUCUCAUCCUCAUUUUUCAACAAAUGGUGCUUCCUGGCUAAUAUCAGCGUGUCCCAUAGAUUUCUGCUUCCAUUGAAUAGACCUAAUAAGAAAGAGAAUGAAGUCAAAGCCAACAGGGCAGAAAGAAAUUGAAAACCUGAAGAACCCAGCACUCAAACUGUCUCCACUUGCGUUUGCUUUUUCUUUACCUCUUCUCCUUCUGGUUUUCAACAGCCAAAGCAGGAUUUAAAUUUGGUUAUGUUGCAAAAAUCAUUUCCCUCUUCAGGCCCUGUCAUGUGACUUGAUUUUUUCGUCCAUUUUAGAGAAGCUGUACCCACCCUGGUUUCAGGACACGGAACUAAAUUUAUUAGAAAAGAAGCCACUUCAAGUCAUGAAGGAGAAACACAAAGAUUCUUGGAUUUAGUUCUAAGAACUAGAGGGGAUUUCUAUGUCAGUACUGUCUCAGAAAAAACUGUUGAUAUCAAAUGUGUUGCUUGAGAAGUACCUUUUUUUUUUUGAGACGGAGUCUCGCUCUGUCCGCCCAGGCUAGAGUGCAGUGGCGCGAUCUCGGCUCACUGCAAGCUCCGCCUCCCGGGUUCACGCCGUUCUCCUGCCUCAGCCUCCCGAGUAGCUGGGAUUACAGGUGCCCACCACCACGCCCGGCUAAUUUUUGUAUUUUUAGUAGAGACAGGGUUUCACCGUGUUAGCCAGGAUGGUCUCGAUCUCCUGACCUCGUGAUCCACCCGCCUCGGCCUCCCAAAGUGCUGGGAUAACAGGCGUGAGCCAUCGCGCCCGGCCGAGAGGUACCUUUUAUGACAACUGAAAUCAUUCAGUUUCAAGAGGAGUUGGGUACUGAAACCAAACUUGCUUACUCCAAAGCCCAAAAUCCUUUCCACCAUGCCUGUGUGUCUGUAAGGCUACACUAGAAAUGCUUCCUUUCUUAUAGUGGGAAGCAUGGGUACUAAGCUCUUUUACGAACAAGUGUUCUGCAUAUUCCUGGUUCCUUUUUAUUUUGGACUGAGGAGAUUUAGGUCAAAAUUUCUGGGUUCUGGGUUGGAAUUCCAGCUUCUUUCUUCAAAUUAAACUGGGGGGUAGCAAGACUUAUUCCUAGAUUUGUUAGAAGGCCACAGCUUUUCCACAUCUCAUUUUAGUCAUGAAAAAGACACAUGCCCAGAGUUUGAAAAACAUAAAGGCAAUUUGACUAGUGGCUUGAUUGGUUCUAUCUUCUUUUUCUUGUCCCUCUUUCCUAUUUAUACUUCUACUUUUGUUACAGCAUUUGACAAUAGUUGGAAAAAUUUUCACUGACCUUGAAAUGUCUUUGGGAUAGGGUGACUUAAAAUAUAGGUUAAGUGGCAUACACAAACUUCUUAGUGAGAUCCUAAGGGCCUACAGAGACAGGCUGACACCAACUCAACCCUUGAAACUGUGCAAUGAAGAGCCUGUGGGAGGCUAAAAAACGCUACUUCAAAAAGAGAUCCUUGUCUGUGAAUGUUAAUUUAGGUUUACAGAUUUGAUUAAGGGUCUUGAGAUUAUUUUCAAUUAUCCAGGUGGGCCCUAGAGCCCUAGAUGCAAUCAUAAGUGUCCUUAUAACAGGGAGGCAGAGGAAAAUUAAACACGCACACAGGAGAGAGAGAGAGAGAAAAAAAAGUGAUGUGAAGACAGCAGCAGAGAUUGGAGCGAUGUGGCCAUAGCCAAGCUAUGUCAGCAGCCAUCAGAAGUUGGAAGAGGCAAGGAAGGAUUUGAGCCUAGAGCCUUUGGAAGGAGCAUGGCCCUGUUGGUUCUGGCCUCCAGAACUGCAAGAAAAUACAUUUUUGUUGUUUUAAACCACCCAGUUCAUGGUAAUUUGUAACACCAGCUACAAGAAAUUAACACAAGGCUGAUGUGACUUUCCAUCAGGAGAGAGACAGCCCCAGGUGAGACCUGCCUGCCUCAUUGUCUGACAGCUUUCCCAGCCUCCUCCAGGCUCCCCUCCGUUUUCUCUUAUACGCAUUCCCCCAAUAAACUUCCUGUACAUUUAAUACCAUCUCAGUGUCUGCUCCCAGGAGGACCCUAACUGACACACUGGGGCAUUUAGCCUCCAAUUCCUUUUCUCCCUUGGCUGAGAUCUGUUCCAGGAAGUAUCUCCAGGACACUCCAGCCUGUUGCACAGGCCAAAGAAAAGCCCUCAGGCAGAGGAGCAAAUACUUGCAAGAGGACACCAGUGGCAAGAACAGGGACAUGGUGAGACUUCGACAUCAUUGGCUACAGUAGUACUAGUCACUCUUGACUGUGGUUUAUGUUGUUUCAAUAAAGUAGCUUUCCUUCUCAAAAACAUUUGUCACCUAUUUUGGAGUUAAUUCAGAGGAUUGCUCCAAAAGAAAAAACUGAAAAGCAAAACCAGCUUUAUUAAAAUGUAACCCUCUGGAUUUAUCUUUUGAUAAUUCCUUUCAUA
rnacentral:lncRNA from 1 species